GAUGAACGCUGGCGGCAUGCCUAAUACAUGCAAGUCGAACGAGAGGAAGGAAAGCUUGCUUUUCUGAAUCUAGUGGCGAACGGGUGAGUAACACGUAGGUAACCUGCCCAUGUGCCCGGGAUAACUUCUGGAAACGGACGCUAAAACCGGAUAGGUAGCAGACAAGCAUUUGACUGCUAUUUAAGUGGCUAAGGCCAUGAACAUGGAUGGACCUGCGGUGCAUUAGCUAGUUGGUGAGGUAACGGCCCACCAAGGCGACGAUGCAUAGCCGGCCUGAGAGGGCGGACGGCCACAUUGGUACUGGGACACGGCCCAAACUCCUACGGGAGGCAGCAGUAGGGAAUUUUCGUCAAUGGGGGGAACCCUGAAUGAGCAAUGCCGCGUGAGUGAGGAAGGUCUUCGGAUCGUAAAGCUCUGUUGUAAGAGAAAAACGACAUUCAUAGGGAAUGAUGAGUGAGUGAUGGUAUCUUACCAGAAAGUCACGGCUAACUACGUGCCAGCCGCCGCGGUAA
rnacentral:rRNA from 1 species